GUGCUUUUUCACUUCCAGCCUCUGAGAGGAAAAGAGAGAGCUAAGGGGAAGCGCUCCAUCUGCACCGGUUGUCAGAACUUCAUCGACAUGGCAGCAUCACUCAGUAUUUGAAGAUUUGUUGGCUGCAGAUCCAUGAUUCCACUCCGCAGCCGCCAAAAGCUGGGAACUCUGGAGUGACGAAGGGCCGGACAUGGUCAGCAAGAAUACUCAGGUAGG